rnacentral:rRNA from 1 species
CACGUAGGAGGCGAGCGUUGUCCGGAAUCAUUGGGCGUAAAGAGCGCGCAGGCGGCUUGACAAGUCGGGUGUGAAAUCCCGGGGCUCAACCCCGGGACUGCAUUCGAUACUGUCAGGCUAGAGGUAGGUAGGGGAGAUCGGAAUUCCUGGUGUAGCGGUGAAAUGCGCAGAUAUCAGGAGGAACACCGGUGGCGAAGGCGGAUCUCUGGGCCGUAACUGACGCUGAGGAGCGAAAGCAUGGGGAGCGAACAGG